CUUACGGUAAGAACACUCUCUGUACCGUUGGAUCAAAUCUAAUCUAACCGUCCAUAUCAAUAGUGUGACUAAUGGCAUUUGCUGUAAUUUUGUGAACUAAAAUCUCGGUAGUUUCUACUGACGCAUAAUUUGUGGUGCUCCCCCUCUCUCUCCCCAGUUCUCGACCUAACCCAUGGCAUUGAUCGAUCUCCAUCAAAUUCUGUGAAUUUGUAUCAAAAACUUCCACAAAUUCAAGGGAUUCUUCACCAACGCUCCAGUAAUUCUGCUAUUUAGGUUCAAUUAAGAGGUGUGAGGCAUUCGAUACUUACCCGCGGACAUAUGACCUGCUGCAUGCAUCUGGUCUCUUUUCCACUGAGAGGAAAAGGUCGGAAUUUUAACAGUACAUGUGUCCCUUGCCCCUUAUUGGUGACAUUUAGUACGGUUAGAGAAGUUAGGGAAACACAAACAGGAUAAUAAUUAUAGUUCCUCUUCGCUCCUCUUUUUCGCGGAUGCAAUAUAUACUAUCAUGCUUGAAAUGGGUUGUAUACGAAGAUCAGAAGGCUCAGUUUAUGUACGAGAUUCGAUUUCUGUCUUGGAUGAGCUUCAAGAGCUUGCAACUGCAACCUAAUUAUUUAGCAAUCAAUAUCCUCUACCAAGGCAGUCAAAGCACCAUCAUAGGAGCUGAAAUUGCAGAUAAGUACAGCUUGUACUUCUAUAUGAUAUCAUAUUAUCAUGUUCUAGAUUAUUGUUGUAUAUGUUCUAAAUUAUCGUUGCAUAUGUUCUAAUUGUCGUGGUAUAUGUUCUAAAGGUUUAUGUAUCUGUUUUGAGUGUCUUUGUAAAUGGAACUUCCAGAAACAUAAAUUAUUUUAUGUUCUUAAAUGUUUUUUAAA